CAGCAGCCGCGGGAAUACGGAGGGUGCAAGCGUUAAUCGGAAUUACUGGGCGUAAAGCGCACGCAGGCGGUUUGUUAAGUCAGAUGUGAAAUCCCCGAGCUUAACUUGGGAACUGCAUUUGAAACUGGCAAGCUAGAGUUUUGUAGAGGGGGGUAGAAUUCCAGGUGUAGCGGUGAAAUGCGUAGAGAUCUGGAGGAAUACCGGUGGCGAAGGCGGCCCCCUGGACAAAGACUGACGCUCAGGUGCGAAAGCGUGGGGAGCAAACAGGAUUAGAUACCCCUGUAGUCCCUGUCUCUUAUAC
rnacentral:rRNA from 1 species